rnacentral:rRNA from 1 species
GAACGGUAAAUAUUGUAGCAAUACAAUAUGAGAGUGACGUACGGGUGCGUAACACGUAUGCAACCUACCCAAAACUGGAGUAUAGCUCGGGGAAACCCGAAUUAACCCUUCAUAGUACUACUGGAUGGCAUCAUUUGGUAGUUAAAACUCAGGUGGUUUUGGAUGGGCAUGCGUCUGAUUAGCUAGUUGGCGGGGUAAAGGCCCACCAAGGCGAUGAUCAGUAGGGGAACUGAGAGGUUGAUCCCCCACACUGGCACUGAGAUACGGGCCAGACUCCUACGGGAGGCAGCAGUAGGGAAUAUUGGUCAAUGGAUGCAAGUCUGAACCAGCCAUGCCGCGUGCAGGAAGAAGGCCUUCUGGGUUGUAAACUGCUUUUGUCAGGGGACUAAAUGGGCGUGCGCGCUUAANUGAAGGUACCUGGCGAAUAGACCCGGCUAACUACGUG